rnacentral:rRNA from 1 species
UACGGAGGGUGCAAGCGUUAUCCGGAUUCACUGGGUUUAAAGGGUGCGUAGGUGGGCUGGUAAGUCAGUGGUGAAAUCUCCAGGCUUAACCCGGAAACUGCCAUUGAUACUAUUUGUCUUGAAUACUGUGGAGGUCAGCGGAAUAUGUCAUGUAGCGGUGAAAUGCUUAGAUAUGACAUAGAACACCAAUUGCGAAGGCAGCUGGCUACACAAAUAUUGACACUGAGAC